rnacentral:misc_RNA from 1 species
AUUGCUCAGUACUGUAAGCAUACCAUUAAAUGAAAGGAUGCUUUUCACUUCUUCAACAACCUGUGUUCGGUUAUUCAAGUUGUUCAAGGCUGUUGAAAUGUUUUCUUCAACUAACUUCUUUGCAUGCUCCCUGAACAUCUCAGAAGCAAUCUCAUCAGAAAGUUUAUAUGCUAGUUGUGAUCUCCUUACUUCAAUUAAUGUGCCUAUGUCAAGACCUCUCCCAA